AAAAAAAAAAAAAAUGCUUUUUAAAAAUCGAUUCUUGGACAUUUUGGAUUGAUUCAGAAUCGUAAUAAAUAAGAAUCGCGAUUCGGACGUGAAUUGAUUUUUUUUCCCCGGCACCCCUAACACUUAGUGAACCUCAGAUCGAAAUACCAAAGGAAAAGAUAUUUUUUGUCGCUUCCUGCAAAAGGAAUUAGUUUUCUGUAGAAUCCCAAAAACCUAGCUAAAAACAUUCAAACUUAAUUUUCCUCAUCUGCAUUUAUUUUGUUUAACAAAAUGUUAAAUUGGUUCAAAUGUUACUUUAUUUCCAUAUGAAGUUGUAAAUGUGCCAAUGAUUGAUCAGGAUAGUCUAUGAAAGCCUUCAAAUAGACACUAUGGGCUAGUGCCCGGACCUUCUGAUAGAGUCCACGACAGGUGGCAUUUACACCCCAGUGCUCCAGUCUAGGCUGAUACAGUACCGAAUACCAAAUUAGGACGUUAAUCCUAAUUCCGAAGCACCAGACGUGGUCAUGAGAUGAACCUAGGUUACUGAUGCAGCAUUCCCACCUACUAACUAGGGCUGCCACAAACGACUAUUUUGAUAAUCGACUAGUCACCGAUUAAUUUUGUGAUUAGUUGACGAAUCGUUUCAUACGUAAAUUGCAGCUUAACACACCAGCAUGCAGCUACUCUUAUAUAACCAUCAUUAGCUUCAAGCUUGAAGUGUUUAAGCUACAUGCUAACUAAAAAUAAAGACAAUUAAGAUGAUAGUUCAUUCAUCUUUGACUUGGCAACAAAGUUGUUCAUUGAAGAGGAACAUUUUUGUAGCACUGUAACGUAGUGUUAUUCUUGUUCAAACAUGACAUCGCUGUUAUAACGUUACAGCAAACACAUAUGUGUGCUAAGGCCAAUUAAAUUGUCAUCCAUAAUGUUAAAGUUUACAGCUAAGUAAGUAGCUCACUAUAGACGUUAAUGCUAGUGGCUAAUUAGCCAAUUAGCUUACCGAGAUGACUGUGUCGCUGCGUCAGAAUCAGCCACAACUUGUUUCCUUCUCAGAUGAAGGCAGGUUCUGCCUUGCAGAUUUUGCAUUGCGCAUUUUUCUCUUUAAUUUGGUUAAAAUGCUCCCAAAUGUUUGAACUGAAUGUUUGAAUGUCUGGUGACAUCACGGCUGACCCCGAUUACCAAUAUUGCGCAUGUGCGUCAAGGACAGAAAGGCAGCAGAAGGUAUAGCAGCAGCUGUGAGAGGAAAACAAAGUUAAAAUAAAACAAUGACAUUAAUUAUUAAAUUAGUCACCAAGGAUUUUGAUAGUUGACCUAAUUGUGACUAGUCAACUAAUUGUGGCAGCCCUACUACUAACCACUACCCCACUAAGUCCCCUAGUUAGCAAGAAUAGUUAUGAUAGAAUGGUGGCAUGAGCGGUUAGUGAGCUUGCUUCCAAAACAGAACAGAAGGUCCUCGGUUCAAGGCCACCUGUGCCCCAGUCUCCAUGUACAACUCCACUGUACAUCUGUGUAAAAUGUGUCACACCAGCAUGUGGACCUGUAUCAGAUCGUCUGUGGUGACCCCAGGUAAAAAGGAAGAAGCCAAAAGAAAUUACUUCGGACUCAUGGCUUCUUUUCAAUCAUAUGAUUGUGUCACUGUAUUAAAGUUGGACGUUGUCACGUUUCUGUUUGAUGCCUCGAGUUCCUUCGUUGUGAUCCUGUUCUUCUAGCCAUAUCGUACGUCUGUUAACUGUUGGUCUGAAGGCAGUAAAACGCUUGUGCAGUAACAGUCAUUCUUGCCUAUGCUGGAUUACGGUUAGCCCAGAGUGGGCCAAGUCUACCUCCAUCACUCAGGCACACUGAAGGAAAUUAUUUUGUUUGUUUGCUUUGACACAUCAAAUACUCGAUGCUUUUCUGUUGUUUGGUACCACAUUUUUUUGACAUGUAUCCCCAUAUGGUUGUGCUGUAGUUGCUUCUUGAACUAUUCUGUUAACGCUUUUGGGGACUGUUUCAAAUGUUUGACUGUACUUUGAGCUGACUUAAGCUAUAUCUGGAAAGGUGCUACUAUGUGUAGUAUUCACUAACAAUGAACACGGGUUUGUUACCGUUAAAUAACGGUUGAGUGGAUGUUGCAGCUCAAACAUCUGCUGUUUGAUCAGAGGCUUCCAUUUGAGUCAAGAACCAAGGUUGAAUUGAUAAAAUUCUAUUUGUGGCUGUUCACAUUCUUGUAAAUCAUUUAAAUCUUGGUUUUGGGGUAAUUAUUGUGAGGUCACUUUAUUUCAGUGCUUAAAAAAUUUAGAAGCAACAAGCUGCAGAUGACCAGAACUGCUGUCAGUGGCUGUGUAGUGUAGCACAUCUUAUACUACAUGAUUAUUUAGUCCAUUUAAUGGGACCUAUUUAUUCCCCUUUUAUUGUACAUGACAUCAAAUUUUAAAAUAAACUACAUGCUCGAAUUUGAUCCCAAUCCUGCGUGCCAAUGAGUAUACUUGUCCUAAACUGUGCAAGGCCCUGCGCGCAAUGAUAUGCAGUGUUUGCGAAAAUGUUGCACAAUGUUCACAACUAGUUCACGCAAGUGGCAUGAAAUUUAUGCGUGCCAGAAAUUUUGAACAUUUUAAAAUUUUCUUUGGCACUGCCACGCAGCCUUGCAAAGUUUACACACAGUUUACAACAGUUUUGAACAUUUCAAAAUUUUCUUUGUGCACUGCCUUGCACAGUUUACGCAGUUUAUAACAAGUUUACUCAUUGGCACGCAAGAUUGCGUGUCAAUGCGAGGAUCAAAUUCAUGCAAGUGUCAAGAUGGCUUUAGGAUUCUUCACACUUACUUUACAAAACUAUACCCAAAUCCCCAUCUCAAAAUACAUUUUUGUCCAUCAGAACUCGGCCAUUAUGUGAAUCAGGACCAAAGUGCACCUAUGGAGAGUCAGUCAUGGGAUAACUGAAUGCUUACAUUUGAGCCUCAUUGGGACCUUGAUCCUGAUUAAUCGCCGCUGUUUUUUGAGUGCUAUGGAACGGGUGUUCAGUGAGAAAUGUUCAUUGUAGUCUGUACAAGCAGUUGUUCAGAUUUCAUCAAGCAUAAAAUAUCCAUUAUACCGGCUAAACUAGACCAUACUGGAGAUAAUUAGAGGCUCAUGCUGGUAGCAUUCGAGGGGUGGUUGAACAGUUUUGAGCCUGUCCCAGACAAAGUAGGGUGUGGUUCUCCAUCUUUUGCAUGCUGAGAAACCAACAUUUCUCUUGAGUGUGUGAAAUUUGAACUCACUGGGUUCAAUGUUGCAGAUAAAAGUGAGUGAGGGUGUGUCAGAUUGGCAAAACGGACAAAGCUGGUGGGCGUGCAGGGAUUCAGCGUCUCAUGAAAAAGGGAAUGUCUCCACAGAAGGUCCAUGAGGACGUGGUCAUGAUGUUAGGGGACGAUGUCCUGUCUUACGUUACAGUUAAACACUGGUCAGCUGAAUUCAAGAGGCACAGAACAAGCGCCGAAGGUGGAGCAUGACCAGGAAGAACUGCCACAUUGACCGAUAUGAUCCAGAAGAUCCAUGAUAUUGUCCUCGCUGACAGAAGAGUAAUUGGGUGUCACUUAACCAGUACUGUAGGAAUUUCCCUAAAGACACUUCAUUCAGUUCUGACAGAUGAACUGGGAAUGAUGAACCUAUCAGCGUGAUGGGUCCCAAGGCUUCUCACAGCCAACCUACAAGGUUCCAGAUGUCCAGGGAGACUCUUCAGCUUUUUGAGGCCGAUCCGGAUGACUUCAUGUGAUGAUUCGUGACUGUGGAUGAGUCACUGGGUCCAUCGCUUUGAACUUUGAGCCCAAACAACAGUUGAAGCAAUGGAAGCGUGUGGGUUCUUCUUCACAGAAGAAAGCCAAAGCUGUCUUAUCUGCUGGAAAAGACAGGACUUCUGUCUUCUGGGAUGCUGAGGGCAUCAUAAUGGUGGAGUAUCUCCAGAAGGGACAGACCAUCAAUGGGGCCCAUUCUGCUUCCCUUUGGUUAGCACUG